CCUCCUUUUCUUGGCGGGGGUUGGGUGUGCAAUUCCUGUAAUGUAUGGGGAGGCAGAAAGGGCUCUGGCCCCCUCGGCGUCAUGUCUUUAGAGCCCACGGCUUCCAGUCCGCUGGUUCUAUCCUCAAGCGCUGGGACACGA
ensembl:snoRNA